AGCUCCAAUAGCGUAUAUUAAUGUUGUUGCAGUUAAAAGCUCGUAGUUGGAUUUCUGGCGGGAGCGUCCGGUCCGCCCUUCGCGGGGUGUGUACUUUGUUGACGUUUCUUCCGCCAUCCUUGGAGAGAGCUUGUUGAGCAUUAAGUUGUUUGGCAAGGGAUCUUCAUCGUUUACUGUGAAAAAUUAGAGUGUUUAAAGCAGGCAAUUGCUGUGAAUACAUUAGCAUGGAAUAAUAAGAUAGGACUUUUGGUGCUAUUUUGUUGGUUUGCACACCGAGGUAAUGAUUAAGAGGGACAGUUGGGGGUAUUCGUAUUUAAUUGUCAGAGGUGAAAUUCUUGGAUUUAUGAAAGACGAACUACUGCGAAAGCAUUUACCAAGGAUGUUUUCA
rnacentral:rRNA from 1 species